CAGAGGACUUUCUCGGAUUGCUCUGGAAUGAUGAAGAGGGUGUCUCUCGUCCAAGAACUGAAAUGAUACCUUCAGGUACUCGAAAUUCCAAAGGGUUCGCAUGGAAUCACAAGUCAGCUGAAGGUAUCGGCCUAAACCGGAGGGAAUGGGAAGAAGGCACUAUGGGCCAUUGUUUUACAGAAGAGGUUACUGA